CCUACGGGGUGCAGCAGUGGGGAAUAUUGGGCAAUGGACGCAAGUCUGACCCAGCAACGCCGCGUGAAGGAAGAAAGCUUUCGGGUUGUAAACUUCUUUUAAGGGGGAAGAGCAGAAGACGGUACCCCUUGAAUAAGCCACGGCUAACUAAGUGCCAGCAGCCGCGGUAAUAGGUAGGUGGCAGGCGUUGUCCGGAUUUACUGGUGGUAAAGGGCGUGCAGCCGGAGCGACAAGUCAGAUGUGAAAUCCACGGGCUCAACCAGUGAACUGCAUUUGAAACUUUUUCCCUUGAGUGGCGGAGAGGUAAUCGGAAUUCCUGUGGUAGCGGUGAAAUGCGUAGAUAUAAGGAAGAACACCAGUGGCGAAGGCGGAUUACUGGACGAUAACUGACGGUGAGGCGCGAAAGCGUGGGGAGCAAACAGGAUUAGAUACCCGAGUAGUC
rnacentral:rRNA from 1 species